rnacentral:lncRNA from 1 species
UUCCCAUAAACUGAUCUCAACUACUUAUGUAAGAAUGGAUGGCACACUUGUUUUCCUUUUAUACUUUGGUUGUGGUAAACUUUUGCUUGGUUUAAGUUGAUUGAGUACUUGAGCCUGUUCUUCAAAUGAGCAACCACUUCCAAAUUUUUUCUAUGCCCAAGUGUUUGUGCCACGGUCAAGGCAGCUGGUGCUGGCUUCUUAUUAGCUCAUUGAUAAAGAAUCUUGUCAGUGCAUAAUUAUAUCUGGCCUAGCUAGAAGUUUCCUUGCUGUUUUUAAGUUGACUUUAGGUAAGAUUGCUCACAUAUUUAAAGCACAGUGAAAUAGAAAACUGAGCACUGUCUAGGUCAAUGAUCCCUGAUUAGUUUAUCUUGCUGUUUUUGAGUUGACUUUCAAUCAGAUUACUCUAAUAUUUAAAACACAAUGAAAUAGAGAACUGAAUAACUUACCAGAUUAAUGAUUCCUGAUUAGUACUCUGCUUAAACAUUUAAAAUAGAAUGAAAUAGGUGAGUGAAAAUUUAAAAAAACAAAAUAAAAUCUGUACAGGCAAAUGACUUCCUGAAUAAAAAGUGGGGCAUUCCGAGAAUCGAACUCGGGACCUCUUGCACCCAAAGCAAGAAUCAUACCACUAGACCAAAUGCCCGAUUAUUGAUGCAUAUUAGUUUUAUUUUUAGUCAAGUGUUUAGUUGAAUUUACAUCUUUUGCAGUUGAAAAUUUUUUCUGCAUGUUGACUGAAUGUACCUUUAGUUAUUAAUAUAUCAGUACAGUAGGCUGUAUGCUUGCUUAUAUAUCAUGUUAUACUCAUGAUCAUGCUAAUAUCUGUAACUGGAUUUAGAAUUUGUGGCAAUGGACUUUAUGUGUACUGUGUUGACUUAAUAUGAUGUUGAUCCAUAGGCUCUAGUGUUUAGUGCUUCAAUACCAGACUUGGGUCUGAAUUGAACCAUAUACUUGUACAUUUGCUCACAUGCAUGCACACACACAUGUGAGUUUGAAGAGGUUCUGGGUACUUGUAUGUUUUUUGUUCACAUAUUUUGAUUACUCGUGGUGUGUGUUUACCAAAACAACAUGUGCUAUUUCGGUGAGAGCUAUAUUCUUCAUUAUGCCACUAAUAUAGCUUGUUGAUGGUUCUUUUCUAUUCUAGUGGUUUUUAUUUGAGUUGAGGCUAUUGCUCAACAGGACAAGCUUUGUAAACUGUUCAUGAGGUCAAUUUGUAGGUGGGAAUCUCAUCAUGGAAAAAGGAAAAUUGUGAUGAUUUAAUUGGUCUUAUGUUGCAGUGAGUUGGCCUGGGUUAUAAUACUGACUCAAGUUUGUAUCAAAAUAAAUAAAUAAUAUAUAAUAAAAUUGUGAGUUUGUUUAAUCCCUGAUUUGGAUAGGGCAUUCUAAGAAUGAAAGUUGAGACAUCAUGCACUCAAGGGGAGAAUCCUACCACUAGAUCAAUUGCCUUAUCAUUGAUGGUUAUCUAUUAUCAGAAAAUUAGUGUGUUUCUGUGGUUGGCUGUAAUUGCAAUAACUUGGUUAGUUUUAAGUUUUAUUGGUUGCAACUGAAAAUGCUUGUUCUUUUAUUCUCCUCAAUUGGGAAACUUUUGAAUUGCAAGAAGAGGCUUUCCUUUGCCAGCAGGUGCUUAGAGGGUCCAAGAAAUAUGAGAGUAUUAAUCAAAUUUGAUCCCCAUUUUCUCCUGUGGAUCUUUACAGUAAUCUUAGAAAAAACAACAUUUCCUGGUCUUGAUCUGUAGAUCUUCUUGAGCAUUAUCUAUACCUUGCAAGGGACUUAGGUGACUCAUCUGAAGCAUUGGUCUUGAGAUCGAAGCGGUUACAUAUUUUUCCAAUAACCACUAGCUUGCAAAAAGGGUAAGAAUGCUUGUGGUAUUAGUAACUUCCAAAAGAUUUCCUGAAAUUGUUCAUGCUUCUUCACAUGUUGAUCCCUAGAAGUCAUGACUGCAGCCUAAGACAUGAGAUUUUAGUAGUAUAUGAAAGACAACCCUGUUGAGAAGAUAAGUGAUAAGUACCCCAUACAAAAAAUUAAGUGUCCUGAAUCACUAUGCUCUGCCUUGAGGCAUAAAAAAGUAGCAUAUUCUGUUGAGUAGCUUGAAAAUUUGUCAGAACACAAAUAAGAAGCUGAUGCUAACUGUCCAAAAGUUUGGUGGGGAUAAUCCUUUUUUCCAAAGUCUCAUUCCUAUAAUUUGUCAUUGGCAAGCUAAAUUUGUAUUUGGUUGGUGCUGUAUAAUCUGACUGGGCAUUCUCUAGUUCAUAAAUGCUUGUCUGGUGCUAUUCCUGAUUAAAAGUAUUCUGCCCAAAUAUUGGAAACAAAAUGAAAUGUUAUUUCUGUUUGGUGUGUGCUGUGAAACCCUCAGUGAACACUUUCCAGUUCCUGAAUGCUUGUCCAGUGCCUUUUCCUGAUCAAACUACACUGGUCAAAUAUAUAAAACAGAACGAAUAUUGAAAUGAAUUCCUGGUUAUAGUACUCUGUUCAAAUAUUUAAAACAGAUAAAAAUAUAGAUAAAAGAAAACUGCACUGGUUAAGGAAUUCCUGAUCAAAAGUGGGGGCAUUCCGAGAAUCGACCUCUCGCACCCAAAGCGAGAAUCAUACCACUAGACCAAAUGCCCAACUGUUGAAUUUUAUCAUAUUCAACUUAUGAUCAUUGUGUGUGAUUGGAAUCAAGGGACUAGUCACUUUUGAUCUCUUGUCACUCCUUUUAAUUUUUAAGUGGACCUUUAUUUAAAGAAGCAACCUGUUCCUGUUGCCUCACCUGUUUUGAGGUGUAUGUGUGGCUAGCAGGGGUUGAAUUUGAAACUUCUACUUCUGAUACUCUCUUAAUUUCAGAAGCCAUUAGAUUGCUUGAAUAGGUUUAGUUUUCAAGCUAAUUGCUUGGCUAGGGUUUGUGUUCAAGUUAAUUGCCUUGAUAGGGUUUUGUUUUCAAUCAAAUUGCUUAGAUAGGGAUUUGUCCUCAAGCUAUAAACUAUUACAGCAAGGAACCAACAGAAUGUCAAUUUCAUUCCAGUAUCAAAUGUUCCAAAUUGAUUCUUUUCUGAAUAUCUAUUUGGAGGAAGCGAAAUUGUCUGAUCUUGAACCUGAGGCUGCUAUAGUUAUCAGAUUCUUAUCCUGAGAAAUUGAUGUUGUUUCUGUGGCCUCUGCAAGCACAGAAAUCUUUUGUACCACAAUAGUGUUCAAUGUAUUUCUUCUCUUUAUUGAAUGGAACUGUCUUGGCAUUAAGUUCUAUUGCAGGCUUCAGAUGACCCAUCAGAAGCAAUCAAGUGUAGUCUGCAGUGUCAUUCUUCUUAGUGUUGGGCUGGAGUAAAGCAGUGUAAGAGUUGAAAGUGAAUCUUGUUCUGGUGGCAGUCCAAGAUUAAUCAGAAUGCUUGUUGAUGCUAUUUCCAAAUAAAUCAAAUGUUUUCUUGUAAAUAGGGUUGCUAUUCAAAUUCUAUCUUUGGUCAUCUCUGGUUGGUAAAGUUGAUUGAGUGAUUUGAAUAUGCUCUUUGUGGAUUUUUACUCCAUGUUCGUGAGUAAAUGCUCCUAUAUUUAAGUGAUGGUCAAGUCUUUUCUUUUGAGUUCCCAAGGAUGGAGCAGGAAAAUUUAAUGUAGCAUUCACCAAUUAAGGUGGGGCAUCCAGAGUUGAACUUGGGAUAUUUUGCACCCAAAGCAAGAGUCAUUUUAGUAGAUCAAAUGUGCAAGUGUUGGUACAUAUUUUGCUACAUCAAUGUGCUUGCUUCCUAUCACCAAUUGUAAUUGUUGAUAGUUUUUCAUGCAUGUUGACUUAAUGUGCAUUUGGUUGUUAAAAUAUCAGUACAGAGAAGUGGCCAAAACAACAUGACCAUAUUUUAUUCAGUAGCUUCAGAAAUCAUCAAAACUUAAACAGGAGCGCUAGGCCUAGGAUCCAAGAUUUGGGUGUGUCUAGCAUGCUUAUCUCUCAAGUCUCUUGUUUAUACAAUUGCUUGUUUGGCUUUAAGGUGAGUUUACUGUUCAGAUAUUUAAAAGAGAAGGAAAUAGAGAACUAAAAAAUGUAUAGAUGAGUGAAUUUCUCAUAAAAAUGGGGCAUUCCGAGAAUUGAACUUGGGACCUCUCACACCCUAAGCGACAAUCAUACCACUAGACCAAUUGCCCAUUUUCUGAUUUUUAUGUUUUCAUCUUCUGACCAAUGUGGUUGAUUGGAUUUAAAGGGAUUUGUAACUCAUGCUCCAAUUUCACCUGAUAACUUUGAGGUGAUCCACCUUCAAAUGUGCAGAUGUUGGUACAUAUUUUGCCAUAUCAAUGUGCCUGCUUCUUAUCACCAAUUGUAACUGUUGCUAGUUUUUGAUACAUGUUGACUUAAUGAGCAUUUGGUUGUUAAAAUAUUAGUAAAAAGUAGUGGCAAAAACAACAGGAGCAGAUUUUAUUAUGUAGCUUCAGAAAUAAUCAAAACAUAAACAGGAGUUCUGGGCCUUCAAUCCAAGAUUUGGGUGUGUCUAGCAUGUUUAUCUCUCAAGUCUCUUGUUUAUAUAAUUGCUUGUUUGGCUUUUAGGUCAGUCUAGUCUGUUCAGAUAUUUAAAAGAGAAGAAAAUAUAGAACUAAAAAAUUUAUAGAUGAGUGAAUUUCUCAUAAAAAUGGGGCAUUCCGAGAAUUGAACUCGGGACCUCUCGCACCCUAAGCGAGAAUCAUACCACUAGACCAAAUGCCCAUUUGCUGAUUUUUAUGUUUUCAUCUUCUGAUCAAUGUGGCUAUUUGGAUUUGAAGGGGUUUGUAACUUUUGCUCCAAUUUCUCCUGUUAACUUUUAGGCGACUCACCUUCAUCUAAAGGAGUGUGCUUUCUUGGUGUCCUCAACCUCCUAAGAUUUGGAUCUCACAGUCUGAACCCAAGUAGCCCUUAUUAUUAUGUUGUUUGUCUUAUAGAUUAAUAAAUAUUAUAGCGCCUAGAUAUUGACCUGUUUGAUCCCUGGAUACCAAGAGCUAGAAAUGUAAGAUUGUAUUCUGACCAAUUAAUGGUGCCCAAGUCUCUGAGUUGUUGUCAUCUUACUUUGCUUCUUUGGUUUGUCAGACUGGUGGAACAUGAGAUUAAAUUUGAUAACUUCCAUGAAUUGGAGGUUGUAUGAUUUGAAAUAGUCCUUUCCAUUUUCUUCACUGAAAUUUCUAGGCAGCCAGAGCAUAUUGUUAGUAUGUAAAGACAACAAGGUGAGCUGGAACAUUAAAUCUUGUUUGUUGCUAUGGACAGAUUAAUCAAACUGAUUGCAUCACUUGAUAAUUUUCUCUUGCAUUCCCUCAAAAUUUCCAGUUAUCACUGAAGUUUACUUGCUGUAGUCUCCACAUAAUUGUUGCUAAAUGAUUCUGUUACCUGCUGAAUGGUUAAGAUGCUACUUUCAGGAAAUGCUGGAUGUAGAUCUACUUUAAGAAAAACAUUCUAGGUUAGAAAAGCCAUUGAGAACUUCUUCUAUAUGGCUAAUGCAUGCUUCUCUAACCAAAUGGAAAAGUAUGUUCUUAGUUUAUUGAUGGAGUACCUUACAGUAAACUAUUUGGUAGUUGACUGUGUUAGCAUUACUUGAAAAAAUGACAGGAUGAGUUGACAGGACAGUUAGGUGGAAAGCCCAAGAGUAAAAUAUCAUAUCAGGUUGCAGGUUUGAUUUUGAGCUACAAACCUUUAUAUCUAGACCUGCUUCUUGUUUCUUCUCAAUUCAUGGAUGAAGAAUGUUGUCAACAGAGCUUUAUCUGGUCCAGUUGAAGGAUUUAUUUUCUUGCAGUUUGACUUCAGGUCUUUAUUGCAGUUCGACUUCAGCUCAGAAUCUUUAAACAAAAAGUAGAGAAUUGAUAAAACUGUCUGGUUAAAUAAAUUCCUGAUUGAAAUGGGGCAUUCCGAGAAUCGAACUCGGGACCUCUCGCACCCGAAGCGAGAAUCAUACCACUAGACCAAAUGCCCAAUUGCUGAUGUUUAUCUUGUUCAAUAUUUUACUAGUGUUUUUCUAUUAGAUGUAAGGGAUUUUUUAGACCAGUAGGUGCUCUUUUUAAUUCUUAAGUGAACAACCUUGAACUAAAAAAGCAUGGUUUCUUGCUUCACUCCUUCGAAGAUUUGGUAUUGUGUGGUGCUUGUGUCCCUAGCAGGAUGGAUGCAAAAGAUUCUCAAAAGUUACUCAAUCAUGCAUACAUGAUAUGCACAUGUACACACCACACACAUAUGGAUCUCAGCUUUUGAACCUGAAGUAAAUGUUUAGAUUCAUGAUGUUAGGGGUUGGCCAAUAGCCUCUCUGCAUAUGUAAUUUGCCUGUCCAUGGAUAGCAAGAACUAGAAAAGUAAAAUUCCUUCCUACCAAAUUAGAGUGACUUAAUUCUUCAAGUCUCUCAUCAUUUUACUUUGCUUCUUUGGUUGUCCUAGAUGAUGGGGGUAAAGAGAUGAAUUUGGAUGUUGUAUGACUCAAAAUAUUGGUUUUCUUGUUUCUUUCCGGGAAAAGGAAACUAAUAUUUGAAAUUUUGUAUGAACUUGGAGUUGUGUGAAUCAGAAUAUUGCUAUUCCUUAUUUUCUCAGAUUUCUCAGCAGCCGGACAAACCAUACCAGUAGCCUGUUGAGAAACAAGGUAAGCUGAAGGUGAAAUCCUGUAUGCAAGAUUAAUCAUAAUGCUCAUAUGGCUUGAAACUUUCCACAUGCUUUCCUUGGUGCUACCUCAAAAUUUAACUUGGAUUUUGUUUGCUGUAGCCUCUAUUUUUUGGUACUUUGUGAUGUUGUCAUUCAUGGAACUGUUAAGAUGCUAUUAAAUUAGAAUGUGGAUCAUCUUGAAAAAAAUGAUUUUACUUUGGAAAAUCAUCAAGAAUCUUCUGUGGAUAUUCAAAAUAUGUUACUUGUACCAACAAAGGAAGUCCUGCUUCUUAAUUUAAAGACCAAGUAUCUUCACAGGUAAUGACUUGGUUUACAAGUUGACCGGAUCAGAAUACUUGGCAUAGUUCUUGAAGAAAAUGAGAUGAGUUGAUAGGACUGUUAGGUGGAGAGCCCAACCAAAAGAUUCCACAUCCAAGAAAAGACAAACUUUCAGCAACUAUGUAGAGCAGUAAGGUGGGCUGCCAGGAACUUUCUAUGACCUGAAAUUACCUACUUAUACAAGAAACACUGACUUUUAAUUUUUUUUAAUCCCAUACUUCUAAUAGGUUUACCUGCAUAAGUCCUUGAAUUGGUUGUUCAGGCGAUGUGACACUGAACAAAUUCUUCCAUGUGUUCUAGUAUUGAGCUUAGGGGUAUGUUCUGGAACUGAGGCAGACAGUUUUCCCUGCUCUGUGUUGACAAUGAGGUUUCAGGUUUAAUUCUUGUCUGCUCAUAUUGAUUGCUUCUUUUUUCUCUUCAAUUCAUUGAUGGAGAAUCCUGUCAGAACACAGUUAAACCUUGACUAGUUAAAAUUUUUAUUGCAGAUGGACUUUGGGUCAGUCUACUUUGCUCAGAUAUUUAAACUAGAAUAAAGUAGAGAACUGAAAAUAUAUAGUUAAAUGAGCUUGUUAUUAAAAUGGGGCAUUCCGAGAAUCGAACUCGGGACCUCUCGCACCCAAAGCGAGAAUCAUACCACUAGACCAAAUGCCCAGUUGCUGAUGUUUAUGUUGUUCAGUGUUUGAUCAAUGUGGCUGAUUAAAUCUAGGAAUUUAUCACUUCUGAUCUCCUGUAGCUACUGUUAAUUUAAGGUGAACCUCCUUCAUCUGAACAACCAUUUUUUCCUGGUGCCACCCCUGAGAUUUGUAUCUGAUAUUUUGAACCUGAACGGAUUUUAGUAUUAUAUGUUUACCUAAUUGACUCAUAAUGUUAUGAUGGCCUGGAUAUUGAGUUGCUUGGUUCCUGGAUAGCCAGGACUACAAUGAUUAGUGGCAUCCAAGUCUCUUGAGUCUUUGGCCAGUUUGCUUUGCUUCUUGGUUGCCCAGACAGUGGUGGAAAAAGAGAUUAAAUUUGAAACCUUACAUGAAUUGGAGGUUGUAUGACGUAAAAUAUUCCUUUUCUUCCUAAGAGAUCUUUGCAGCCACAGCAUAUUGUUAGCCUCUAAGAACAAGUUGAGAUAGAACAUCAAAUCCUAUUUGUUGUCACGGCAAGAUUAAUCAGCAUGCUUGUGUAUCUUGAUAAUUUCCUCCCGCAUUAGGUGGUGACCUAACCUCAAAAUCUUCAGUAAUUACUGAGGUUUUGUUUGCUUAGUUUCCACGCGGUUGUUAAUUUACUUACUUUACAAUGUUGUUGUGCACUGAAAGGUUAAGAUGCUAUUUUCAAGUAGAUAUAAAUCAGGAUGCAGUUCCAGUAUGAGAAGAGAAAUCAUUUUACACAAGCAGAAUCAUUGGAAACUUUUUUUUUUUUUUUUUUUUGGGUAUUAUGACAAGCAUGUUUUUUGAUCCAAGAAAAAGUCUGUUACUUCUUAAUAUACUGAUGGAGCAUCUCAUUGGUAACUCUUAGGUGUACAAGUUGACUAGAUCAGAAUGCUUGGUAGAGUACUUGGAAAAAUGAGCAGCAGACAAGAAAAUUGGGGGGAGAGCAUAAACACAAGGUUCCAUAUCCCAACAAAGGACUAAUCUAUUGGCAACCAUGUGGAGCUGGGCAGUUGGACUUCCGGAAAAUUCCCAUAACCUGAUCUCACCUACUUAGGUAAGAAUGAAUGGCACACCUGUUUUCCUACUUCACUUUGGUUCUGACAAACUUUUGCUGGUUUUAGUUGAUUGAUUACUUGAGCCUGUUCCUCAAAUGUGUGACUGCUUCCAAUUUUUUUCCAAUAUCAUGGCCAAGUUUGUGUGCUACAGCCAAUACAGCUGGUGCUUGUUUCUUAUUGAUUCAUUGAUAAAGAAUCUUGUCAGUGCAUAAUUAUAUCUGACCUAUGUAAAAGUUUCCUUGCUGUUUUUAAGUUGACUUUAGGUAAGAUAGCUCAAAUAUUUAAAACACAAUGAAACAGAAAACAGAACACAGUGAGGUCACUGAUCCCUGAUUAGUUUCUCUUGCUGGUUUUGAGUUGACUUUCAAUCAUAUUGCUGCAAUAUUUAAAACACAAUGAAAUAGAGUACUGAAUACAGGUCAAUGAUUCCUGAUAAGUACUAUAUUCAAACAUUUAAAACAGAAUGAAAUAGGCAAGUGAGAAAUAAAAAAAUAAAAAUCUGUACAGGCAAAUGACUUCCUGAAAAAAAAAAAUGUGGGGCAUUCCGAGAAUCGAACUCGGGACCUCUCGCACCCAAAGCGAGAAUCAUACCACUAGACCAAAUGCCCACUUGUUGAUGUUUAUGUUGUUUGGUUUCUACUUAAUGUGUUGAUGGAUUCCCUUUCCCCCAUCCUCCAUCAUGAUAGUAUCUCUACCAGGACAGUGCUGAGAUGAAAAUACAAAUUAUCUCAUUUUUUUAACUUGAAACAUCUGUUAAUAUUAUAUUGUCUAUCUCAUCAUUCAAACUUUGUGGUGGCCUUUUCAGAUAUGAAGCUGAGUAGGCUCUGGAUAGCAAAAACCAGAAUAAUAAAAUUGCAAUCUAGCCAAUUAAUGGCACUAAGGACUCUGAGCUCGUGGUCAUUUUCCAUUGCUUCUUGGUUACCCAAACCAUGGAUAAACAAAGAAAUUAAGGUUGAGAUCUUUCAUGAGUUUUGGAGUUUGUAUGCUUCAAAAUAUUUUUUGCCAUCUUUUCUUUUCUUCCUAACAUUCGGCAACAGAGCUUUUUGUUAGCCUGCAGAAAAACAAAAUGAGCUGCAAGGUUGAGUCCUCUUUGUUGCCAUGACACUUAAUCAGAAUGCUCAUAUAGCUUGAUAAUUUCCUCUUGCAUCAGAUGGUGAUCUACCCUCAAAAUCUUGAGCUUCUAUGAUGCUAUUUUCAAGAGCAAUUAAAUCACAAUGUGGAUCAUCUGUAAAGCAAAAUCAUACAUCAGGAAAAUUGUAAAGAACUUCCUUUGUAUGAUUAUAAAUAUGCUUCAUUAACCCAAAGUUUGAUUUUUCUUUCUUCUUAAUUUAUUGGAAUAAUAGGCUGCUUGUAAAUAUGUGAUUUACAAGCUGACUGGGUUAGACUUCUUGGUAGAAUACUUUCAAAAUAGAUAAGCAGCUGAAGGAAAGUUAGGUAGAGAGCUCCUAAACAUGAGAUGCCACAUCCCAAGAAAGGACAGAAUCUUUUGACAACCAUGUGGAGCAGUGAAGCUGGACUUCCAGAAACUUCCUAUGACCCGAAAUCACCUACUUUGGUAAGAAAGGAUGUUCUAGUUAUGCUCUAGUUGUCAAAUUUUUCUGGUUUUAAUUGAUUGAGUACUUGAAUUUUUUUGUUCAAAUGAAUGCCUGCUUCCUUUUUUUCUAGAAUCAUGACUAAGUGUAUGUGCUUAGGUUGAGGCAGGUGAUGCUUGUUCCUUAUUAAUUCAUUGACAAAGGAUAUCAGGGCAUGCUGACUUCUGUUCUCAACAAAAUUUUCCAUUGUAGUUCUUCAGUUGACAUUAGAUCAGAUUAGCUCAAGUAUUUAAAACACAAUGAAAUUGACAACUCUACUGUAUGGGUCAAUGAAUUUUUAUUUUAUUUUUUUUUAGAAAAAGUACAGGUGAAUUAAUUCCACAUAAAAAGUGGGGCAUUCCGAGAAUCGAACUCGGGACCUCUCGCACCCAAAGCGAGAAUCAUACCACUAGACCAAAUGCCCACUUAUUGAUGUAUGUGUUGUUUUGAUUCUGAUCAAAUUUAAGGGAUCAGUCACUAUUGAUCUCCAACUGCUCCUGUUAAUUUUUAAGCGAAACUACCUUCAUCUGAAGGAGCUUACUCUUCUUGGUGCCCCACCACCUGAGAUUUAGUAUUUUGUGAUGCCAAUGUCUUUAGCAGGAUGAUGUAGAACAUGAUAAAAUUACAUCUGGAUCUCAUAUUUUGAACCCAAAACAUCUGUUGGUAUUAUAUUGCCUAUUUCAUAGGCUCAAACCCUGUGGCAUCCUUCAGAGACAAGGAGUUGAUUUGGCCCUGGAUAGCAAGAACCAGAAAAGUAAAAUUGUAUCCUAAGUUCCUAACCAAGUAAUUGCACACUCAAUUCUUUGCCCAUCUCAUCGUUUUAGUUCUUUGGUUGCCCAGAAUAUAGAGGAAAAAAGAAAUUUAUUUUGAAACCCUUUCAUUAAUUUGGAGGUUGUUCUCUUCCAAAAUAUUCCUUUUCCUUUUUUCCUGCUUAAGAUUUCUCUGCAGCCAGCACAUACUGUUUGCCUUUGGGAAACAAAGUGAGCUGGAUGGUUAGUUCUUGUUUGUUCCCAUGGCAAGAUUAACAAAAAAGCUUGCAUAGUUUGACAAUUUCCUCUUUUAUCAGAGGGUGGCAUUCAAUCAAAAUCUACUUUGCUGUAGCUUCUGCAUAACGUUUACUUUCUAAUGCUGUUCAUUGUUAGGAUGCUAUCUUCAAAUAUGAUCAAACUGGGAUGCAGACCAACUUUUAAAAAUCAGGAAAAUCAGAGAGAAUUUUCGUGGGGUCAAAGUGUGUCUCCUUGAUCCAAAGAAAAAGUAUGUUACAAAGUUAAAGUGUGUUCCUUUGACCCAAAAAUGAAGCCUAUUUACCUCCUUCUUACAAGACCGAAUUAGAAUGCUUGGUGCAGUAGUUGAAAGGAGGAGCAGCUGAGAGGAAAGUUAGGUGGAGAGCCCAAAAUCAAAAUGUGACGUCUCAAGAACAGAAUCUUUUGGCAGCUGUAUAAAGCAGUGCAGCUGGACUGUCAGAAACUUCUCACUGCCCAAAAUCAAUUGGUUAGAAGAAUAGAAGUUGUGUGAUAUUUCAAUAUUGGACUGGGGAAGAAGUUCCUGACACUAUAUAUAUAUAUAUA